rnacentral:misc_RNA from 1 species
UAGGCUUGACAUGCACGAGCAAGCUCUCAGAAACGAGAGCCCCUCUUCGGAGAUCGUGCACAGGUGCUGCAUGGCUGUCGUCAGCUCGUGUCGUGAGAUGUUGGGUUAAGUCCCGCAACGAGCGCAACCCUCGCCCCUAGUUGCCAUCAUUCAGUUGGGCACUUUAGGGGGACUGCCGGUGAUAAGCCGAGAGGAAGGUGGGGAUGACGUUUCCUCAUGCGUU